rnacentral:rRNA from 1 species
AAGCGGUGGAGCAUGUGGUUUAAUUCGAUGCAACGCGAAGAACCUUACCUGGUCUUGACAUCCACGGAAGUUUUCAGAGAUGAGAAUGUGCCUUCGGGAACCGUGAGACAGGUGCUGCAUGGCUGUCGUCAGCUCGUGUUGUGAAAUGUUGGGUUAAGUCCCGCAACGAGCGCAACCCUUAUCCCUUUGUUGCCAGCGGUCCGGCCGGGAACUCAAAGGAGACUGCCAGUGAUAAACUGGAGGAAGGUGGGAUGACGUCAAGUCAUCAUGGCCCUUACGACCAGGGCUACACACGUGCUACAAUGGCGCAUACAAAGAGAAGCGACCUCGCGAGAGCAAGCGGACCUCAUAAAGUGCGUCGUAGUCCGGAUUGGAGUCUGCAACUCGACUCCAUGAAGUCGGAAUCGCUAGUAAUCGUGGAUCAGAAUGCCACGGUGAAUACGUUCCCGGGCCUU